UACCAUGCAAGUCGAGCGGAACGAGUUAUCUGAACCUUCGGGGAACGAUAACGGCGUCGAGCGGCGGACGGGUGAGUAAUGCCUGGGAAAUUGCCCUGAUGUGGGGGAUAACUAUUGGAAACGAUAGCUAAUACCGCAUAACGUCUACGGACCAAAGAGGGGGACCUUCGGGCCUCUCGCUUCAGGAUAUGCCCAGGUGGGAUUAGCUAGUUGGUGAGGUAAUGGCUCACCAAGGCGACGAUCCCUAGCUGGUCUGAGAGGAUGAUCAGCCACACUGGAACUGAGACACGGUCCAGACUCCUACGGGAGGCAGCAGUGGGGAAUAUUGCACAAUGGGCGCAAGCCUGAUGCAGCCAUGCCGCGUGUAUGAAGAAGCCUUCGGGUUGUAAAGUACUUUCAGUCGUGAGGAAGGC
rnacentral:rRNA from 1 species